ensembl:lncRNA
GGGACUUACAAAAACAGUAACUCGUCAGAAAGCCAACAAUAUAUGUAAUAAACAAUGGCAGGUUUAUAAGACAUCUAGAUUGCUAAACCACAACUUAUCAUUUUAAAAAACAUAUUAUGAAACUCUGUCCUCAAAUGACUGAUCUGAUCACAUCUGCACCGAGGACAGCAUACUGAUUAAAGAUAUCACCGGGAUCAGAGUACACCAGGUGCCCUUGGCAAGACAGAUAAGCUGCAGUAAUAUGAUUACACGUCCUGCAUUGUGCAACCCGUGACUCAACCUCUAAUUACAGCUGUGCUGCACUGUUUGCAGGUAAACUGCGGCUCAGGACGCUCUGAAUGGAGUCCAGGAAGCCCGUAAUUUUACAUGUGUCCUUUGCACCACGCUUGUGACUCGGGUGGAAAUGGGUGUCAAAGGUGAGCGCAAAUCUGACAAAUACAGAAAUACAGACAGCAGGUCAAGGACGGCAGGUAGUUCAAGGGAGGGGCGGAGCCAGCUAAUGGUUACACUGAGUUAAACAAAUGAGCAGAGGGGGCGAGUCACAGAGGGGGUGGAGCCAGAGCCACAAACAGACACACCCACACAAGCAAAGUGAUUAUCUCAGUGGAAAAAUGGUCCAGAUGUCUCCUGCAUCCCUGCAGAUUCAUGUUCUCUUUUUUUUUAAGUAUCACAGCAGGAGUGGUCCGGAAUGACCUAGAUCUGUAAAGGAGCGACGGCGGGACGUGCUGAGACGCUUACAGACAGAAAUACUGCUUAUUUUAGUGUUCCACAUGCAAUUUUACGUAAAAAGUUUUUAUUAGACUCACUGUAAUUCAUUGUUGGUCAUAUUUAGUAUUCAACCAAUAAAGGGCAUGAUAUCAGCUGCUGUAAUGUCUAUAUACUGUAUGUAAUACAACAAAAUCACAAGAGACAGGCACAAAAUUUAUGCAUUUACUUGUAAUUAUUAAAUCAUUCACUUAAAAUGUAUAAUUCGCUUUCAAGUCAAAAUAUUGUGGCAC